rnacentral:lncRNA from 1 species
UCAACAAAUGCUAGCCCAUUUAAACUUCAUAACAAUAAUAAUUGGUUAUAAUCAUAUAGGUUAUCUUAUUCACAAUCCAUUAACACAUCCUUUUUCACCUGUCACUACUAUCUAUCCUUCAUACACAACUUAACUUAGUUCAUAGCUCUCUUCGCCUUAACUUAACUUCUUCUUGCAACCCGAACAAACUAAAUAACACCCAUUACUAACCUAUACUCUCUGGCAUACAAAUACCG